UACGUAGGGGGCAAGCGUUGUCCGGAUUUAUUGGGCGUAAAGAGCGUGUAGGCGGCCAGAUAGGUCAGCUGUGAAAACUCGAGGCUCAACCUCGAGAUGUCGGCUGAAACCAUCUGGCUAGAGUCCGGAAGAGGAGAGUGGAAUUCCCGGUGUAGCGGUGAAAUGCGCAGAUAUCGGGAAGAACACCUAUGGCGAAGGCAGCUCUCUGGGACGGUACUGACGCUGAGGCGCGAAAGCGUGGGGAGCGAACAGG
rnacentral:rRNA from 1 species